AACGAACGCUGGCGGCAUGCCUAACACAUGCAAGUCGAACGAGACCUUCGGGUCUAGUGGCGCACGGGUGCGUAACGCGUGGGAAUCUGCCCUUGGGUUCGGAAUAACUUCGGGAAACUGAAGCUAAUACCGGAUGAUGACGUAAGUCCAAAGAUUUAUCGCCCAAGGAUGAGCCCGCGUAGGAUUAGCUAGUUGGUGAGGUAAAGGCUCACCAAGGCGACGAUCCUUAGCUGGUCUGAGAGGAUGAUCAGCCACACUGGGACUGAGACACGGCCCAGACUCCUACGGGAGGCAGCAGUGGGGAAUAUUGGACAAUGGGCGAAAGCCUGAUCCAGCAAUGCCGCGUGAGUGAUGAAGGCUUAGGGUUGUAAAGCUCUUUUACCCGGGAUGAUAAUGACAGUACCGGGAGAAUAAGCUCCGGCUAACUCCGUGCCAGCAGCCGCGGUAAUG
rnacentral:rRNA from 1 species